rnacentral:lncRNA from 1 species
CUUCCCCAACCACGUGGAAUUAUAAAGAAGCUGAAGUCACGAAGGAAAAACAAAUCCUGUCACAGUCUCAUGGGACGGGGUAGGAACUAGAACCAACGACUCAUCCAGAGUUCAUAUUAACUCCGAACUGUUGCCACCAUUUACAGAGACUCAUAGGAGAAGCCGCUUGCUCUACAGUGUGAGGAUUGCAAGCUGUGCUAGGAUUCAAGCUCAGAGUCCCUGAGCCUUUGUCUCCUGUUCUUUCCUGUGUGCUUAUGUGGUCAGUCCACUUUCCUUCUCCGACAUGAAGGCUUGGCCCAUUCCAAGUCUCCUUUGGAAGAAAAUGGGUAAACUAUGAAUGCCAUUGUUUAACACUGUCAAUUGGAAUAUUAAAAUGUUUCUUUCAUUAGAAAUAAACUUUUGUCAAUUUAAACAGUGGAAGAGUAAUUCAUCACAGGGGAAGAGGAAUGAGAACCUUUGGAAUUUAUUUUCAAUAAAAGAUCCUGCUAGUAGAAGAAAACUCCUGAAACCCUGGUUUUACUGAUGCCCAUUAACAUGUAUACUUGAAGCAAGAGUAUGAAGCUCUUAAAAUCUGCCCUUUCAAAAACUUUAAAAAGUUAUGUAGGGAGUUAUAAGUACAUAAGAUGAAAAUGAACACCUUCUCUUAGUAAAUGUAUUUUAGGAGCAUAGAGAAAUUGUAAAGAGAAAGGUGAGAGUAAUAGAACUUCACCUGGUAAUUUUCUGGGGUAAAAGAAAAGGGGAUAAAGGUCCCGGGGCUAUAUUACUAAAGAACAAAUGAGAAAGAAGGGCAACACA